rnacentral:rRNA from 1 species
UACGAGGGGGGCAAAUGUUGUUCGGAAUCACUGGGCGUAAAGGGCGCGUAGGCGGGUUCUUAAGUUAGGUGUUUAAUCCCGGGGCCCAACCCCGGACCGGCACUUAAAACUGGGAAUCUUGAAUAGUGGAGAGGUCAGUGGAAUUGGAGGUGUAGCGGUGGAAUGCGUAGAGAUCUCCAAGAACACCAGUUGCGAAGGCGGCUGACUGGACACAUAUUGACGCUGAGGCUCGAAAGCAUGGGGAGCAAACAGG